rnacentral:rRNA from 1 species
ACGCUCGACACCUACGGGAGCAGCAGUGGGGGAUAUUGCACAAUGGAGGAAACUCUGAUGCAGCGACGCCGCGUGAGGGAAGACGGUUUUCGGAUUGUAAACCUCUGUCUUCAGGGACGAAAUGAAUGACGGUACCUGAGGAGGAAGCUCCGGCUAACUACGUGCCAACAGCCGCGGUAAUCUGAGCGGGCUGGCAAGGC